rnacentral:rRNA from 1 species
CGUACAUGUACGGAAUCCUCUAGAGAUAGAGGAGUGCUCGAAAGAGAGCCGUAACACAGGUGCUGCAUGGCUGUCGUCAGCUCGUGUCGUGAGAUGUUGGGUUAAGUCCCGCAACGAGCGCAACCCUUGUCAUUAGUUGCUACGAAAGGGCACUCUAAUGAGACUGCCGGUGACAAACCGGAGGAAGGUGGGGAUGACGUCAAGUCCUCAUGGCCCUUAUGGGUAGGGCUUCACACGUCAUACAAUGGUCGGUACAGAGGGUUGCCAACCCGCGAGGGGGAGCUAAUCCCACAAAGCCGAUCGUAGUCCGGAUCGCAGUCUGCAACUCGACUGCGUGAAGUCGGAAUCGCUAGUAAUCGUGGAUCAGCAUGUCGCGGUGAAUACGUUCCCGGGUCUU